CGUUAUAAAAAACCAGCAGCUUUACUGUCCUUUAUUCUUCAUAAAAAAUCAACCUUUUCACUUUUCAUAACUUAUAGGGAGUUUGCUAGAGUUUCACUUACAGCACUGAUGAUUCUUUAUUUUUGGUCAGUUUGCUGUGUGUAAAUAAGUAUACAUAUAUAAACUGUUAACAGUAAAUAAAAACAAAUAAUGUCACUUUGAACUGGAAAAGUUUUAUAUGGUGCAUAAUGUUUUGGAUUUUCUGAGAGGGUGGAUGGUUUGGAGUUCUGUCAGGGGAAAGUAGGCAGCUUUAUUUGCAUAGUUCAAUCAUAAAAAGUCAGGGCUUUGUGCAGAGGUGAAAGUGAAACUAAUGAAAGACUUCCUGCACUCACACAAGGAACGAAGUAUAAACAAGUGUAAACUUUUGCGGAAUUUGAUCUCCUGAGACUCGCCUUCCUUUAAGAUGUUUCCAGAAUCAGGUGUUCUAGCGUUCUACAUUAUGUCACUCGGGGACACUCUGGGUGCCCAAAUCGACUUCCUAGAUCGGCUGAAACAACGUCUUCAGCUCCGUCAAGUGUUUUUGGAGGAUGAUUGUGACGUUAUCAUCGCUUUCCUCUGCGUUGUGUCUCGGGCUGGACGGGCAUCGAAGUUGCUCUUGAAAAGAUUCCGAGGGAUAAGCCUGCUCUCCUCGUGGUGUUCCAUAACACGUUUGAUGAAAAUUACAUUGCUCCAGACAGCAGGUGGAAUGUGAAGAGGGAAGGUGUUUUAGCUGUGGAUGUCCUCUUUUAUGAAGACAAGGGAUUGCUGAGGAGCCUGCACAAUGAUGCGGCACUGAAAUUAAGCACUGAUUAUCUGAUCUCUCUUGGUGUUUCACCGAAAGUCUGGCCCGAGCCAGGACACACAUGCAGAAAUGCUUGCAAGUGGAUAAUUCUAGCCAUUGUUGCUGUUCUUCUUAUUACUGCUAUAACAAUAAAUGCAAUAUUCCUUGUCUAUUAUAAGAAAAAGCAAUAAAGCAGCAAGCUAAUUUGACCUAAACCCACAUAAAAUAACAAACCAAGAAAUGUAAUAUCUUUCUUAUAAUCAAGGUCACAUUACAUUGCAUAAACAGCAUUAAAAUGAGAAAUUUGACCAGUGCAUUCACAAUGAAUAGCUAUAAAUGUAUUUAAUAAUCAGCAUAAAAAGUACAAAGAGAAAUAAAAUAAAAGACAAAUAAAAUAUAUAAACUUCAUAUAAAUGUCAUAUAAAUUUGUUAGCAUAAUCAUGCACAUUUCUGAUCAGGGCCCUGAUUAGUGAACUAGAGAGCUGAUUGCAAUGUAAUGUAGGGAAUGUACUUGAUUAGUCCACAAAAUUUGAAAGCAAUAAGAAUGUGAAACCUCCAUCUCUGCUCCAGAGCUCUAGCUAUAGUGUCCAACUGAAGCUGAAAUUCUCCGAAAUGAAGCAUAGGAAUUCCAAGCUAGAAUUUUCAACACUUUCCUUUACUUUACUGUCUGUAUUUUUCAGAACAUAUUGAGGCAGUCGAGUACACAAACAUGCUGUGUAUCAAAGGAAAUAGACUUAAAAUGACAGUAAUUUUUGCUUCUAUUUCAGUUUAUAAAGAAUUACAGCUGACCAGUUUCCUGCAUGUUAACCAUGUUUACCAUGAACACAGCUAUGAGCUUGAUCCAAAAAUAACCUGAAGAAUGAUGAAUUAAAUUAAAUGUUGACUUGAAAUAUUUAAUAAUAAUAUAUAAAUUUUAUCUCUAUAUACAAAGGGGUUAUUUAAAGAUUUUCUAAUCUAAUUGAUAAUAUCAAAUUGACAAUAUUUUACAGGCUUAUGUCACAAUGUAAUGCAUCGUGUGUGAUUUAUAAUCGUGAAAGUAAAUAAAUCAUUAAAUGUUGUCUGUACUACUGAUUGAUUGUUAUUUAAUAAAAUAUCAGACUAUCAUGAACAUGAGUUUCAUGCUUGUCCACAAAAAACCCCCCACCAUUUUAUCCACAUCCAUUAUGAGAAAAUCAAAAUUCAUUGGUAUUUUUGUUUCCUUGAUGCCUCACAGAUAUAAUAUUUUACUACACGGCAUUAAAAUAUUCACUCAGUUUGUCCGUCAGUUUAAAAAUGACCAAAAUGUAUAGAUAUUACUGCCAAAGAGAUUAUACAUAGUGACUUAAUUGAACCUAAACCAAUUAAGAAUUACGAAUUAAGCGUAAGUCUCAGGGGAACAUGUCAGACUGGUGUUAUAUGAUACAAAGCUUGAGCUGAUGUUAGGUUUUUCACAGAACAAGGAACAGGUUAAAGAUGUUUGUGUAGUGACUCUAAACAAUGCAAGGUGUGUGUGUGUGUGUGUGUGUGCAUUCCUAACUAAGGCUCAACACAAAAAUAACUCCAACACAUAAUAAACGUGUGUUCAUUUAAAGGGUUUUUUGCUGUGAUUGAUAGCAA